UUCCCCUAGUAACUGCGAGUGAAGCGGGAAAAGCUCAAAUUUAAAAUCUGGCAGCCUUUGGUUGUCCGAGUUGUAGUCUGGAGAAGCGUCUUCCGCGCUGGACCGUGUACAAGUCCCUUGGAAUAGGGCGUCAUAGAGGGUGAGAAUCCCGUCUUUGACACGGACUCCCAGUGCUUUGUGAUGCGCUCUCAAAGAGUCGAGUUGUUUGGGAAUGCAGCUCAAAAUGGGUGGUAAAUUCCAUCUAAAGCUAAAUAUUGGCGAGAGACCGAUAGCGAACAAGUACCGUGAGGGAAAGAUGAAAAGCACUUUGGAAAGAGAGUUAAACAGUACGUGAAAUUGCUGAAAGGGAAACGCUUGAAGUCAGUCGCGUCAUGCAGAACUCAGCCUGGCUUUUGCUCGGUGUAUUUUCUGCAUGACGGGCCAGCAUCAGUUUUGGUCGCUGGAAAAAGUCUCCAGGAAUGUGGCACCUUCGGGUGUGUUAUAGCCUGGAGUCGUAUACAGCGGCAGGGACUGAGGAUCGCAGCGCGCCUUUAUGGCUGGGGUUCGCCCACAUUCGCGCUUAGGAUGCUGGCGUAAUGGCUUUAAACGACCCGUCUUGAAACACGGACCAAGGAGUCUAACACACCUGCGAGUGUUUGGGUGGAAAACCCGAGCGCGCAAUGAAAGUGAAAGUUGGGAUCCCUGUCGUGGGGAGCACCGACGCCCGGACCAGACCUUCUGUGACGGCUCCGCGGUAGAGCAUGUGUGU
rnacentral:rRNA from 2 species